GACAGAGUAGCUUAACGGCAGAGCAUCGGUUUCAUAAGCCGAAAGAUGGUGGUUCAAAUCCACUCUCUGUUA
rnacentral:tRNA from 1 species